UACAGAGGUCUCAACCGUUGUUCGGAUUCAUUGGGCGUAAAGGGCGCGUAGGCGGCUUUGCAAGUGACGGGUGAAAUCCCUCGGCUUAACCGAGGAACUGCCUGUCAGACUGCAUGGCUUGAGACCAGGAGAGGUGAGUGGAAUUCCCAGUGUAGCGGUGAAAUGCGCAGAUAUCAGGAGGAACACCGGUGGCGAAGGCGGGUCUCUGGGCCGUAACUGACGCUGAGGAGCGAAAGCAUGGGGAGCGAACAGG
rnacentral:rRNA from 1 species